ACUGUCUGCUGGAUAUAAAAUCCUCUGAAGUGUAUCAAAAGCUGCUCUACACUGAACAACUGAAACAACUGCUUGCCAAGGGAACCAUUAACACUUCCAACCGUUGAGUCACUUGGAAAUUUCCUUUCCACUUUCUGCUCACCAACUGUUUAAUGAAAAAGGGACCAUCAAACUCAGACAGCCAGCAGAUCAAACAGAAGGAUCCCUGGAACUGCUGCUACUCUACAGAAAUUGAAAACAGGAUCUCUUCCAGAUUCUCCUCCACCUGGAUGGGCAGACUACACGCAAUGUAAAAUGAGAAUAAAGGGUCACUUUAUUACACUGAAUAAUUCUGAACAUAUGGUUAGAGGUGUAUUUCAUUCAGUUACACUGUGUCGUUCAAGAGGAAAAAAAAAAACAGAUUCAGGU